AAUCAGCAGAUGUAGUGCACCAACAAACUUCCAUCCCCUUUAUAUUCUCUCCUAAAAACCCUAAAUCUUCUCCUGUACUCCUUCUCUUCUCCCUUCUCUUUUUGUGUACGCUUCUUUUUUCAAAACCCUAAGUUUUUCCCUGUACUCCUUCUCUUCUCCCUUCUCUUUUUGUGUUUGCUUACAUCUUACAUCUUAAUCCGUUGAAUUUUGCUAUUUUCAGGCUGAUUCACCUCGACGAAGGUACGGUUCAUGAAGACAUGAUUGAUAUGGCUUUUCAAACUGCAAGUGGAGUUAAUGAGAGUGGCUGGUCUGAAAAAGGAGGCAGGUACGUCUACCUAAUGAGCCAUUCCAGUUAUUACAUUGUUCCUAGAGAAGAUCAGAGUACAAAUAGUUGAAACAGUGGUAGCGUUCAGAGUUCCACAAGCAAUAAGGAGACUCAAAGCGUGAUUCGUCAUCCCACACAAACAUGACCAAGAGGCUUUGGAAUAUCGGCUGCUCGGUUAGGCUUGCGAGACACUGGACUAAUUUCUUACGGAGAAAUGGUUGACCAAGGUCAACUAAUUACUGAAGUUGUGUCCAUUCCAGUUAUAGGGGAUGGGGAUAAUGGGUAUGGAAAUGCCAUGAAUGUGAAAAGAAGUGUAAAGGGAUAUAUCAAAGCAGGAUUUGCAGGAAUAAUUUUUUAAUUCAUUUCUUAAUCUCUGCUUGAUAGUAACAAAAGUAUUUUAAUGAAAAAUUGAAAACUAAUACGACAAUACAAAAGGAUUUUAACAAAAGUAGCAAAUGGGUCACACUUCUUGAACUUUAUAAAGCAGGUUUGGAAUAGUAAUCUGAGAUGUUUUCAUAUGAUUUUUCACAGACGAAAACCUCCAAAAAGGGUGCUACCUUGCAUGGUUGCCACCCCUUGGCUAACACCCGGAAGUUAGAGCUUUAUGAUGACUGUCAGCAAUAGCUUUAUUUAAUCGCAUGUGCUUUAUGGCCCUGCAACUUUGUUCCAUAAACUUGCAUAAGUUGAAUGUUCCUAAUCUAUUAUAUAUAAUAGAAAGACUAUCAGCAACUGCAUGUUCUUAAAGCACAAAUAUUAGCUUUUAGACGUAUAAAGGUAUUUGUUAAGUGUACAAUUUUAUAUAUUCGAGUGAUCUUCACACCCUAAGCUCAUUUGAAAUGACUGUUGGGUUAAAACCACUGUUGGGUUAAAACAGUGUUUUCAAAUCACUUUUGAAACGAGUGUUCGGUUAAACAGUGUUUUGAAACCACUGUUAGGUUUAACAGUGUUUGAAACCACUGUUGGGUUAAACAGUGUUUGAAACCACUGUUGGUUAAACAGUGUUUCGAAACGACUGUUAGGUUAAACAGUGGUUUCAAAACACUGUUGGGUUAAAACAGUGUUUUGUGGAGAAAACAGUGGUUCUUUUUUUCCAAACAAUAGUUUGACUUUAGUCAAACAACAUUUUAAUUUUGGUCAAACAGGAUUUUAACUUUGGUCAAACAGACUUUUGAACCACUAAGAAUCAUAUUUUUGCAAACAGUUGUUUGACUUUGGUCAAACUGUGGUUAAACAGCGUUACAAGCCAUAAUGAAACCAUAUAAACCAAACAAAUUUAAGUGCUAGUAGUAGGUCUCACCGGUUUUGGUUUUAUUAUGAAUGUUUAUUAUCGAUAAUACAUCCAUUUUAUUAAGAAUAUCAGAUACCGUUUGGAUGUGUUUAAAUAUUCCAAGAUGUGACACAGGAAAACUAAUAUGUUUGUGAAAUUAGGGUGUUUACAUGGCAGUUUGGUAGGGUCUAAAUCAAGCUCCGACAAGUUUUGGACUUGUAUCUGGCAAAUGAAUGGGAUUUUAGAUACCCUACAGAAUUGGGUUUUCUUGGAAAGACACGAAGGAAAUUUGGUGAGGAUUUGAGGAAAACUAGAAGUAGUGAUUUGGGGGGAAACUACGUGGUCUGAUUGUGGGUGUGAGUCUGGUGUUUGUUGGAUGAACAAUGGUGGUGACUUGAAGCUUCAUAUCGUUGUCAACGACCCAUUAACAGUUGACAUGGGAGGUGGUUCCAUCCUUGCUUACUUCAGCUCCCCAGCCAGAGGAUGUGUUGCCAAUUGUGUAGCUUUUAACUUUUUCAUAGACCCGCUUGGCGAUUCCACGCUUCCCUUCUCAUUAACACCUUUGAGCUUUUCUUGUCAUGUUGAAUAUAUGGCAGGUAGUGGUUUAUAGAUUCUUGUGAUUAUGAUUUUUGGGAUGGAUUUGUUUGAAUUAAGUUGUGGACCUAUGAUUUCUGAAGAUGCAGAGGUGGAGUGUAGAUAGUGUGGUCCUUCAUGUCUGCUUUUAUUUUAAAGGUGUGAAGGUCAACACAUUUACUUUUCAUGUUUGACCAAAAAUUCUUAACUCAAAUAUAUUGUAAAAACAUGGACAUUUUGGUUGUAAUUUCGUGCACCAUCAGUCAUGUCUUUGGCUCUAUUUAUUCCUCACAAGUUUGUAAUUGAAGUGGUUUUUUAUACAUAUUUUUUCAAGUCAUA